AUGAACGCUAGCGGCAGGCUUAACACAUGCAAGUCGAGGGGCAGCGCGGGAUAGCAAUAUUCUGGCGGCGACCGGCGGAAGGGUGCGUAACGCGUGAGCGACAUGCCCGUUGCCCGGGGACAACCGGUGGAAACGCCGACUAAUCCCCGAUGGGAUACGAUGCUUCAUGGCAUUGUAUUGAAAGUUACGGCGGCGACGGAUUGGCUCGCGUCCGAUUAGCUUGUUGGCGGGGUAACGGCCCACCAAGGCUACGAUCGGUAGGGGUUCUGAGAGGAAGGCCCCCCACAAUGGGACUGAGACACGGCCCAUACUCCUACGGGAGGCAGCAGUGAGGAAUAUUGGUCAAUGGGCGGAAGCCUGAACCAGCCAUGCCGCGUGCGGGAAGGAGGCCCUAUGGGCUGUGAACCGCUUUUGCCUGGGGGCAAUAAGGGCGUCGCGCACGUCCGAUGAGAGUACCAGGCGAAUAAGCAUCGGCUAACUCCGUGCCAGCAGCCGCGGUAAUACGGGGGAUGCGAGCGUUAUCCGGAUUCAUUGGGUUUAAAGGGUGCGUAGGCUGUGCGUCAAGUCGGGGGUGAAAUUCCGGUGCUCAACACCGGGGCUGCCCUUGAUACUGUCGCGCUGGAGUGCGGAUGCCGCCGGAGGAAUGAGUGGUGUAGCGGUGAAAUGCUUAGAUAUCACUCAGAACACCGAUUGCGAAGGCAUCUGGCGAAUCCGUAACUGACGCUGAGGCACGAAAGCGUGGGGAUAGAACAGGAUUAGAUACCCUGGUAGUCCACGCCGUAAACGAUGAGAACUAGGUGUUGGGGGAAUAACUCAGUGCCGCAGUUAACGCAGUAAGUUCUCCGCCUGGGGAGUAUGCACGCAAGUGUGAAACUCAAAGGAAUUGACGGGGGCCCGCACAAGCGGUGGAGUAUGUGGUUUAAUUCGAAGCAACGCGAAGAACCUUACCAGGCCUUGACAUCCCUUGCAGAGGUAUAGAGAUAUAUCCGAGGUUAUCAAGGAGACAGGUGGUGCAUGGUUGUCGUCAGCUCGUGCCGUGAGGUGUCGGCUCAAGUGCCAUAACGAGCGCAACCCUUGCCGCCAGUUGCCAUCAGGUCAAGCUGGGCACUCUGGCGGGACUGCCACCGCAAGGUGUGAGGAGGGGGGGGAUGACGUCAAAUCAGCACGGCCCUUACGUCCGGGGCGACACACGUGUUACAAUGGCGGCCACAGAGGGAUGCUACCCCGCGAGGGGAUGCGGAUCUCGAAAAGCCGUCCCAGUUCGGACUGGAGUCUGCAACCCGACUCCACGAAGUUGGAUUCGCUAGUAAUCGCGCAUCAGCCAUGGCGCGGUGAAUACGUUCCCGGGCCUUGUACACACCGCCCGUCAAGCCAUGGAAGCCGCGGGCGCCUGAAGUCCGUGACCGGAAGGAGCGGCCUAGGGCGAAAGUGGUAACUGGGGCU
rnacentral:rRNA from 1 species